AGAUACCCGUGUAGUCCCGGCCGUAAACUAUGCUCGCUAGGUGUCAGGCAUGGCGCGACCGUGUCUGGUGCCGCAGGGAAGCCGUGAAGCGAGCCACCUGGGAAGUACGGCCGCAAGGCUGAAACUUAAAGGAAUUGGCGGGGAGCACCACAACGGGUGGAGCCUGCGGUUUAAUUGGACUCAACGCCGGGAAGCUCACCGGAUAAGACAGCGGAAUGAUUGCCGGGCUGAAGACUCUGCAUGACUAGCUG
rnacentral:rRNA from 1 species